UGGAUAGGCACAAAUAAAGGAGUAAACUGUACAUUGUCUGAACCUGCAAAGAGAUUCAGAUCAGAACUUCUUUCUAGAUUGGAUGGAUUAGUAUCUAACGAAAAUUCUAAUGUAGUUCUUUUGGCUGCAACUAAUUGCCCUUGGGACAUUGAUGCAGCUUUACGCAGACUUUUUCUUGAAAAGAAAAUAUACGUAUCAUUACCAAAUGAAGUUAGUCGACUCGAUAUGUUCAAAUUAUACCUUAGCAACCAGUUAUUAGAGAAUAUGGAUAUUGUAAACCACAUAAUAAAAUCUACUGAAAAAUAUUCUUGCGCGGAUAUAAAAUUGCUUUGUAAGCAAGCAUGGCUGCUAGAAAUAAGUCCAAUGUGGGAAAAACUUGAAAAAAAAGAAACAUCUGUUACGACUUUGAAAUAUGAAUUAAAGAAUUAUGAAAUAAUAGCAAAAUUGUUAAAAACAAUGUCACCUACAGUCACGGAUGUGGAUAGAUAUAAAGCGUGGAAUAAAUAUGUAUGCCAUAAGAACAUAUUUUAAAAAAUAUAAAUGGUUAUCAUAAUAUA